rnacentral:piRNA from 1 species
UGGAGAAUUGAAUACCCUUAAUGC